AUACGUAGGGUGCAAGCGUUAAUCGGAAUUACUGGGCGUAAAGCGUGCGCAGGCGGUUUUGUAAGACAGAGGUGAAAUCCCCGGGCUCAACCUGGGAAAUGCCUUUGUGACUGCCAGGCUAGAGUACGGCAGAGGGGGGUGGAAUUCCGCGUGUAGCGGUGAAAUGCGUGGAUAUCCGGAGGAACACCAAUGGCGAAGGCGAUACCCUGAGCCUGUUCUGACGCUCAUGCACGAAAGGGUGGGGAACAAACAGGAUUAGAUACCCUGGUAGUCCGCGCCCUAAACGAUGUCAACUGGUGGGUGGAUCUUCAUUGACUCAGUAACGAAGCUAACGCGAGAAGUGGACCGCCUGGGGAGUACGGCCGCAAGGUUGAAACUCAAAUGAAUUGACGGGG
rnacentral:rRNA from 1 species